rnacentral:sRNA from 1 species
UUUGGCAAGUGGGAAGUAUAAAGUGCAGAUAUGUUCACGCAAUCUAGUAGAGUUUUAAAAAAUGAAUCUGAAAUUAUUAUUAUCUUCUCAUGUAAGGAAAAGUAAUUAAACAAACCUGAUAUGUGUUUAAUGAAAAUUACAUAAAACUGAGGUACCUGAUGUAAUUAUUUAAAGCUGUUCAAGUUUAAUUAUUAUGUUAAUCAAUUCUUCUGCCCAGAUAAAUUUGUCUUUUCUUUUUUAAUUAUCAGGAGUAAAAAUGGUUUAAAGAAGAGGAAACUGACAAACCCGGUUCAACUGGAUGACUUUGAUGCCUAUAUUAAGGAUAUGGCCAAAGACUCUGACUAUAAAUUUUCUCUUCAGUUUGAGGAGUUGAAAUUGAUUGGACUGGAUAUCCCACACUUUGCUGCAGAUCUUCCACUGAAUCGAUGUAAAAACCGUUACACAAACAUCCUACCAUAUGACUUCAGCCGUGUGAGAUUAGUCUCCAUGAAUGAAGAGGAAGGUGCAGACUACAUCAAUGCCAACUAUAUUCCUGGAUACAACUCACCCCAGGAGUAUAUUGCCACCCAGGGGCCACUGCCUGA